rnacentral:rRNA from 1 species
CCUGGUGGCGAGUGGCGAACGGGUGAGUAAUACAUCGGAACGUGCCCUGUAGUGGGGGAUAACUAGUCGAAAGACUAGCUAAUACCGCAUACGACCUGAGGGUGAAAGUGGGGGACCGCAAGGCCUCAUGCUAUAGGAGCGGCCGAUGUCUGAUUAGCUAGUUGGUGGGGUAAAGGCCUACCAAGGCGACGAUCAGUAGCUGGUCUGAGAGGACGAUCAGCCACACUGGGACCGAGACACGGCCCAGACUCCUACGGGAGGCAGCAGUGGGGAAUUUUGGACAAUGGGGGCAACCCUGAUCCAGCAAUGCCGCGUGUGUGAAGAAGGCCUUCGGGUUGUAAAGCACUUUUGUCCGGGAAGAAAUCGCACCUGAUAAUACCGGGUGUGGAUGACGGUACCGGAAGAAUAAGGACCGGCUAACUACGUGCCAGCAGCCGCGGUAAUACGUAGGGUCCAAGCGUUAAUCGGAAUUACUGGGCGUAAAGCGUGCGCAGGCGGUUGUGCAAGACCGAUGUGAAAUCCCCGGGCUUAACCUGGGAAUUGCAUUGGUGACUGCACGGCUAGAGUGUGUCAGAGGGGGGUAGAAUUCCACGUGUAGCAGUGAAAUGCGUAGAGAUGUGGAGGAAUACCGAUGGCGAAGGCAGCCCCCUGGGAUAACACUGACGCUCAUGCACGAAAGCGUGGGGAGCAAACAGGAUUAGAUACCCUGGUAGUCCACGCCCUAAACGAUGUCAACUAGUUGUUGGGGGAUUCAUUUCCUUAGUAACGUAGCUAACGCGUGAAGUUGACCGCCUGGGGAGUACGGUCGCAAGAUUAAAACUCAAAGGAAUUGACGGGGACCCGCACAAGCGGUGGAUGAUGUGGAUUAAUUCGAUGCAACGCGAAAAACCUUACCUACUC